GCUCACUACGGUGGGACAUAUACUAAAAUUGGAACGAUACAGAGAAGAUUAGCAUGGCCCCUGGCGCAAGGAUGACAUGCUAUAAAAUGAUAGAACUGAGUCUAAU
rfam:Lingula anatina scaffold26, whole genome shotgun sequence.